rnacentral:rRNA from 1 species
UAGUGGCGAAAGGGUUAGUAAUACAUGGGUAAUGUACCUUCAACUCUGGGAUAACAACUGGAAACGGACGCUAAUACCAAAUGAAGUGAAUUAAUGGCAUCACGACCAUUAAAGUGGGGGACUGAUUCGGCCCUUGCGGUUAAAGAGGAGCUCAUGCGAUAUCAGCUUGUUGGUGAGGUAAUGGCUCACCAAGGCUAAGACGUCUAGGCGGGUUGAGAGAUCGACCGCCAACACUGGGACUGAGACACUGCCCAGACUCCUACGGGAGGCUGCAGUCGAGAAUCUUUCGCAAUGGACGAAAGCCUGACGAAGCGACGCUGCGUGAUCGAAGAAGGCCUUCGGGUUGUAAAGAUCUUUCGCUUAGGAACAAGAGAACUGCAUUAAUACUGUGUUGAUUUGAGCGUACUAGGUAAAGAAGCACCGGCUAACUCCGUGCCAGCAGCUGCGGUAAUACGGAGGGUGCGAGCGUUAAUCGGAUUUAUUGGGCGUAAAGGGCACCUAGGCGGAUAAGUAAGUCAGACGUGAAAUCUCGGGGCUCAACCUCGAGGCUGCACUUGAAACUACAAUUCUUGAGGGUAGACGGAGAAAAUGGAAUUCCAUGUGUAGCGGUGAAAUGCGUAGAUAUAUGGAAGAACACCAGUGGCGAAGGCGGUUUUCUAGCUUAUUCCUGACGCUGAAGUGCGAAAGCUAGGGGAGCGAACAGGAUUAGAUACCCUGGUAGUCCUAGCCGUAAACGAUGUGUACUUGGUGUAGUCGGACUCAACCCCGGCUGUGCCGUAGCUAACGCGUUAAGUACACCGCCUGAGGAGUACGCUCGCAGGUGUGAAACUCAAAAGAAUUGACGGGGACCCGCACAAGCAGUGGAGCAUGUGGUUUAAUUCGAUGCAACGCGAAGAACCUUACCCAGGCUUGACAUUCAGCGGACAGCGCCAGAGAUGGCGUCUCCUUCGGGACCUCUAAACAGGUGCUGCAUGGCUGUCGUCAGCUCGUGCCGUGAGGUGUUGGGUUAAGUCCCGCAACGAGCGCAACCCUUAUCGUUAGUUGCCAGCAUUUCAGAUGGGGACUCUAACGAGACUGCCUGGGUUAACUAGGAGGAAGGUGAGGAUGACGUCAAGUCCGCAUGGCCCUUAUGUCUGGGGCUACACACGUGCUAUAAUGGCCGGUACAGCAGGCAGCAAAGCCGCAAGGUGGAGCAAAUCCUUAAAGCCGGUCCCAGUUCGGAUUGGAGUCUGCAACUCGACUCCAUGAAGUUGGAAUUGCUAGUAAUGACGUGUCAGCAAUAACGCCGUGAAUACGUUCCCGGGUCUUGUACACACCGCCCGUCACAUCAUGG